UGAGAGGCGCCGCCUGCCAUGAGUACCAUGGACAGUGAUUUUACUGAGUCUAAUGUUUAGGCCUUCCAGUGUUUAAAACUGUUUUAUUGCAAGUUUGGCAGAGAUGACCUCGGUGAGUUCAUGGUGCAGUUAACGUGAUUUUUAUGCCAUAUUUGCUGAUUUUUACAGAUUAAAUUUAAAAAAUUACAUUUACAAAAUUGUUGUUUUGAGGAAUAUUGUUGUUGAUUUUGUUUGUUUUGUUUUGAGUGACUGUUAGUAUUCUUGAAUACUGUUAGACCUGACAGGAUUAGCUGUAGUAAAUUAUCAGUUUUAAAGGUGAGUGUUGUUUUAUUGUAAAAUGCAUGUUUUAGAUAUUUGGAAAAUACUAAUAAAAGCAAAGGUAACAAAGUAUCCAGUGGUAUGCUGUCUGAAGAAAUGCAUACUGCCUUUCUGAGUUUCUUGCAGGAUUUUAUUUUACUUAGGGGUAGGAGAGUACAUAUUGUAUCUGGUUAAUCAUUUCCAUUUUAGCCAGUAAUGAAUCAUAUUUCUUAGAUGCAUCUCUGCCAAGAAUUUAGUUAUUAAAACUGAUCCAGGUUAUUCUGGUAAGAAUGCUCCACUCUUCCUGAGGCCCACUGUUAGUCUGAUACUUAUGUGAAUACUUUCUCUAUGUUCUCUCCUUCAGUUUUCACGACAACCCUAGGGGGUAGGUCUUUUGCUGUUUGCAGUUGUGAAUGGACAAGAAAGUAGAGUAAGAGUAGAUGACUAGUGUGAGGGAAUACAGCUAGUCAGUUGUGUAGCAGAGAUUUGUGGGCAGGUAGUCUGAUGACAUUUGCCUAUUAACUACUGUGUUUGUAAUCCACACCUGGCAGAGUAUUGAUUUCUAAAUUUUCAUUUGUUUGUUUGUUUGUUUACUCUCACUGUGUGCAUGCACAUGCAUGGGAGUGUGUGCCAUGGCACAUGUUGGAGUUAGAGGACAACUUGCAGGAAGCAGUUCUCCUUUGAUCAUGUGGAUUCCAGGAAUUGAACUCAGGUCAUCUGGCUGAUGGCAGUCAGUCUAUAGUAUAUUGAUUUUUAUCUUGACUUGUAAAGCUCUGUUACAGUCUUUGUUUGAGCUCGAUUGUUCUGUCUUUGGCUCAGAUGAUACAUGCCACAUUUCAAUAGCUCAGGCAGAGUAUGGAGUUACUUUGUUUCCUACAUAACAGCCAAAAUUGCAUGAGUGCUGGAUGUGUGAACGACACUUUGUAGCUUUACUGAAACCUCCCUGUGCUCAUGGGACAGGGAGAAAGAGAAAAUAAAUAUGAGACAAGGAGUCUGACAGUGUUCUGACAUCCGCUGGAGGAGUCCCUGGUCCCUCCCUCUUACUGCUUCACUGAAAACAAAACACCCUCCUUCUGUGACUUUUAGAGACCCUGAUUCUCCUUUCUGCUAAAGCUCAGCUAAUUUGAUAUCAUGAAACUAUAGUAUAUAUAAUAUUCUAUAUCCGUUUUCUCAAGGUAGCACUUGAAUUCUAGAAAAAUAGUUCAUAGGCAGUAUUUGAUUGUGAUUAGCAGAUUCUUACUGUAUGCAGAUGAAUGUGAGCUGUUCCAAAAGAGGAGGGAAUUUCAUAUACAGGGCAGGCUUAGCGGUAAGCUGAUGAGACUUCCGUCCACGGAUGAGCUUUUGUUUUUCCUUUGUGUGAGGUUAGGAAAGCUUGGUGAGAAAGCUUCUGGGUGGGGAGCUAAACCAGUUGGCCUCCCUGGUUGGUCGGGAUUCAUUAAGGAUUCAUUCAUUCAAUGGAAGCCUAAAGCCAGGGAUAGUACCAAACACAUGUGUGUGUGUGUGUGUGUGUGUGUGCGUGCGUAUUUAUAUAUAUAUAAUUACGCACACACACACACAAUUUUUUUAUACAUACACCUCUAUGGUAAAGUUUAAUUUAUAGAUUGGGAACAGAAAUUAGCGACAAUACUAAAAUAAUUAUGUAGUACAUUAUUUUAAAAUAAUCUAUAUUUUGUGGUUAUUAUGAACUAAAAUUAGUAUUACUUAAACAUUGUAGUACCAUAACAGUCCAUUUGAUAAUAGAGAUAGCUACUAAAUGACAGGCAAAAACCAUAUACAUUGUGGAAACUCAAGACAAAGAGAGUUCAUGUCCUGAGCAGGACUCAGAGCUAUGUACAAUUUAAAAAUUAUGAUUCGGACAGGGGAGUUAGCUUGUUUGUUGAAGUAAGUACCUGCUGCAAAAGCAUAAAGAAGUGAGUUUGAGGGCUGGUGAGAUGGCUCAGUGGGUAAGAGCACCCCACUGCUCUUCCGAAGGUCCAAAGUUCAAAUCCCAGGAACCACAUGGUGGCUCACAACCAUCCACAACAAGAUUUGACUCCCUCUUCUGGAGUGUCUGAAGACAGCUACAGUGUACUUACAUAUAUUAAUAAAAUAAAUCUUU
rnacentral:lncRNA from 1 species